CAGCAGCCGCCGCGGGAAUACAGAGGGUGCAAGCGUUAAUCGGAAUUACUGGGCGUAAAGCGCGCGUAGGUGGUUUGUUAAGUUGGAUGUGAAAUCCCCGGGCUCAACCUGGGAACUGCAUCCAAAACUGGCAAGCUAGAGUAUGGUAGAGGGUGGUGGAAUUUCCUGUGUAGCGGUGAAAUGCGUAGAUAUAGGAAGGAACACCAGUGGCGAAGGCGACCACCUGGACUGAUACUGACACUGAGGUGCGAAAGCGUGGGGAGCAAACAGGAUUAGAUACCCCAGUAGUCCCUGUCUCUUAUAC
rnacentral:rRNA from 1 species